AAAUAGGUCUCCUGUGGGUUUGCAACAGCUGAGGAGAGUUUGGAGGGACCAUAGGGAUCUCAGACUAAAGACUUCCUCACAGCUUGAGUUCUUAUACAUUACUGUCUCUCAUAAAUAUGCACCAAUACACAAAUAAUUUCUAUUUUGAAGAUACAAAACGUAAUAUCAACAGAUGAAAUCCAAAUACAGCCAUAGAGAAAGCUGCUCUUCCAGAUGGAUCUGCUUUUUAGAUUCUUGUCUGGCUCUUCAUCUUCAGUGGGAUGUUUUCACUGGCCUCUGUGAAUACCCUGGUUCAGAUUCUGGAGUAUUCAGAACCGUAAUCUGCAUUCCUUUUCAAUCAGUUGUAGUCUUGGUGAUGAUCAGAAGCAGCUGACUAGGAAGUACUGUGGG
rnacentral:lncRNA from 1 species